UACGUAGGGUGCAAGCGUUGUCCGGAAUUAUUGGGCGUAAAGAGCUCGUAGGCGGUCUGUCGCGUCUGCUGUGAAAAUCAGGGCUCAACCCUGGACCUGCAGUGGGUACGGGCAGACUAGAGUGCGGUAGGGGAGAUCGGAAUUCCUGGUGUAGCGGUGAAAUGCGCAGAUAUCAGGAGGAACACCGGUGGCGAAGGCGGCCGGCUGGGCCGUUCCUGACGCUGAGGCGCGAAAGCCAGGGGAGCGAACGGA
rnacentral:rRNA from 1 species